GACCUGGACUCCACAGACUGAGCUCCCUCAAGUGUACACCUUUGUGUCCAGGCUCUCCAAUACUUAAUGUAGUCUCUAAUGUUUCCUUGUGAAAUUCUGCAUGUGAAGCCUAAAUUACUGCAAUGAAUAUGGCCAAAUUACCCCCCUGGGUCUGAAUUUCAGUUUCUUCCUCCAGAAACGGAGAUACAUUCAAUUAUUCAUUCAAGACGUAGUUCCCAAGUGUUUACCAUGGCCUUGCCAAUAAGGCCAGGCACUUGGGGAUCUAGAGGCAGAGGCUAGCAUUAAGCCACCUUGGAUUGGACAGUGAUGAGAGUCCGGUUGGAGCCAAGGGAUGACAGCUGCGUCUACUGGGUAGGAUGCUGGUUGGUGGCUUGGGACCCAGCUUGGGACCCUGAGCAGCCAGUGAUUCUCCAAAAAUGGGUGACAGGUACGUGGAUCGCUGCCUCUCCGUGGGCCCUAGUUUCACAUGGGGCGGGAGCUUGGACUGGAGGAUUCUAGGGGUUUCAAGGACAAGAGCCUCAAAGACCUGAAGGGCAUACCCUUCACCUGGGGCAGGGCGCAAAGCGAUGCCUGCUGGACCACUCAGUGCCUCCGGCCCUCCGACCGCCGCCGCCUCGUGCGGCCACAGCGACACCUUCUGGCCAGAGGUAACUCUAGCACGUGACUUUCCGCGGGUCUGAGUCCGGCAGCGGCUUCUCAUCACCCAGUUCUCUUCAAACAUGGCCAGGCUAGUGUAGUUACAGUUACCGCGGGUCUGAGGAUCCAACCUUGGAGGUUAAUUUCACACGACUGGAACAGAAGACCGUCUUUAUGGCCUCCAAGAAUACUGCGCCUGCGCACUCUAGUUCUUGAACGAAAUCGGCACCGCUGAGAAAUUUGUCCCAGAUGGCUUGCCAUCUGUUUCCAAGGCAACCCGGGAGUCUCCUGGCAACGGCAGGGCGCGCGGCCUGCGCGGGUCUCCCGGCCCAGCGGUGCGUAGGAUGGCUGCAGCGAGUCCCAGCGUCUUCCUGCUCAUGGUCAACGGGCAGGUAGAGAGCGCCCAGUUUCCAGAAUAUGACGACCUCUACUGCAAGUACUGCUUCGUGUACGGCCAGGACUGGGCCCCCACAGCGGGUCUGGAGGAGGGCAUCUCACAGAUAGCAUCCAAGAGCCAAGAUGUACGACAAGCACUGGUGUGGAACUUCCCCAUCGAUGUCACCUUUAAAAGUACCAACCCCUAUGGCUGGCCACAGAUCGUGCUCAGUGUGUAUGGACCAGACGUGUUUGGGAACGAUGUGGUCCGAGGCUACGGAGCGGUGCAUGUACCCUUCUCUCCUGGACGGCACAAGAGGACCAUCCCCAUGUUUGUGCCGGAGUCCACAUCUACGCUGCAGAAGUUCACAAGGUGGGUCCUUCUGUCUGCAGCCUUGCUGCCUCCUGAUCUAAUGGGUAACUAACAGGCCAGCACCUCCCACCCUCCCGAGACCUGGGAACCACACAGGUCUUCACGUGGCUGCACCUAGAGACAGCUGGAAACAGGUAUGCAGACAGGAACACUGCUGAGUCCUCGGGCUUCCUUGGACCACUUUCUGGCAGCUUAAGUCUGCGAGGCUUUCUGCUGUGCCCUUUGAGCCUGUCACAUGGAAACGCUGUUUGUCUGGCUGCAGCAGCAAGAGGCAAACUCCUUAUGACAGCCACAGUGACCCAAUAUUAUGAGCAUGUACUAAAUGCUUUCCACAUGGUACCUCGGGGAGUCAAGCAGCAGCCGUGAAGCAUCUUGGGAGCAUGUUCUACACACCAGGCACUAAGAGCUCUUGCUCUCUUGAGGAAAACAUGAGUUAGGAGCAGCCAGAAAGAUGCUGCUGCCAGCAAGUGUGAAGAGAGUUGGGGGGCAGGGGUGUAGGGAGGAGGCAGUGAGAAGGUCCCAGAGGACAGGACAGAAAUCUUGGAGAUGGCCCAAAGGGGAGGUCUCUGCCACAUCCAAAUAGGAGUUGGAGGGAUCUGCUAGCCCAGCUUAGCUGCAUGCCACCUCUGCUCCCCAGCAUGUUGACAGGGAUGAAAGGGAAGUGAAGGGCCCCUAGGUUCCCAGGGAGCAGCCAAUGAGCAUCCCCUUGCAAGCUAGUAUCAGGUAGAGAGGAUGUGGAGAAGGGAGCCUGGACCCCAGUUUUGAGAGGGCUGAAGAAAGGUUCUGGGCUGUAGGACAGACUUAGCGCUGACUGCACCUUGCCUAUGCAUACCUGGAUGACCCAGGAUAAUUCCCACUUUGCAGCAUCCUGGUACCUCCUCCAUAGACCCUCUUCACAGAUAGCCACGUUCUCGGUGUCGUCAGUCCUUACCCAGUAUCCCUAGAGCUGUUACUCGACCCGUUGUGGCCUCUCCACCUUAGUCUUUGCAGAGCCCUUAGGGUGGUGUCGCUGCUGGGAGCUGCCUGGCACACCCUCUUGCAUCUAGGAGCCAGGGUGCCAGUGGCCUCUUUCUCGCUUCCCAUUUGCCUGGCCUUGGCUUUCUGAGCCCACAGGUUCUGCCCUGCGUCAGCCCUUGCCUGGAGCACGCUCCCCGAACUUGCCUGUCUCUUCUCAUGAGAAAACCACCUGUCGAUUAGAAGACAGCUGGAGGCAUGCUGAGGGUGCCUUUACUGCCAGGCCUCACUCUCUGAGACGCCUCAGUGCUGAGCUGGUUCAUGGGACGGCGGCCUGAGUACACAGACCCCAAGGUGGUGGCCCAGGGUGAAGGCCGGGAAGUGACCCGUGUCCGCUCUCAGGGCUUUGUCACCCUCCUCUUCA